AUGAGGUUCCCUGCUCAGCUCCUUGGGCUGCUAAUGCUUUGGUUCCCUGGAUCCGGUGGGGAGGUUGUGAUGACCCAGACUCCACUCUCCCUGCCCGUCACCCCUGGAGAGCCGGUCUCCAUCUCCUGCAGGGCCAGUCAGAGCCUCCUACACAGUGAUGGAAACACCUAUUUGAGUUGGUUCCAGCAGAAGCCAGGCCAGUCUCCACAGGGCCUGAUCUACCUGGUUUCCAAGCGUUACACUGGGGUCCCAGACAGGUUCAGUGGCAGCGGGUCAGGGACGGAUUUCACCCUGAGAAUCAGCAGGGUGGAGGCUGACGAUGUGGGAGUGUAUUACUGCGGGCAAGGUAUAAGCUUGUUGGUUUGGUGUCUUACCUGUGGUGGAUGCUCUGUUCAAGUUUGA